rnacentral:rRNA from 1 species
UACACUCCUGCGGGAGGCAGCAGUGGGGAAUAUUGGACAAUGGGCGCAAGCCUGAUCCAGCCAUGCCUCGUGAGUGAUGAAGGCCCUAGGGUUGUAAAGCUCUUUCACCGGAGAAGAUAAUGACGGUAUCCGGAGAAGAAGCCCCGGCUAACUUCGUGCCAGCAGCCGCGGUAAUACGAAGGGGGCUAGCGUUGUUCGGAAUUACUGGGCGUAAAGCGCACGUAGGCGGAUCGAUCAGUCAGGGGUGAAAUCCCAGGGCUCAACCCUGGAACUGCCUUUGAUACUGUCGAUCUGGAGUAUGGAAGAGGUGAGUGGAAUUCCGAGUGUAGAGGUGAAAUUCGUAGAUAUUCGGAGGAACACCAGUGGCGAAGGCGGCUCACUGGUCCAUUACUGACGCUGAGGUGCGAAAGCGUGGGGAGCAAACAGGAUUAGAAACCCUUGUAGUCCCA